GUAGGCGGCAAGCGUUGUCCGGAAUUAUUGGGCGUAAAGCGCGCGCAGGCGGUUCUUUAAGUCUGAUGUGAAAGCCCACGGCUCAACCGUGGAGGGUCAUUGGAAACUGGAGAACUUGAGUACAGAAGAGGAAAGCGGAAUUCCACGUGUAGCGAUGAAAUGCGUAGAGAUGUGGAGGAACACCAGUGGCGAAGGCGGCUUUCUGGUCUGUAACUGACGCUGAGGCGCGAAAGCGUGGGGGGAGCAAACAGGAUUAGAUACCCUGGUAGUCCACGCCGUAAACGAUGAGUGCUAAGUGUUAGGGGGUUUCCGCCCCUUAGUGCUGCAGCUAACGCAUUAAGCACUCCGCCUGGGAGUACGGCCGCAAGGCUG
rnacentral:rRNA from 1 species